CGCAAAUAUAGUAAUAGUUGUAUAGUGAUAGAAUGAUCGAACCGGAUCCGCAAUGAUUCGGGACCCAGAUUCGUGGACCUCAUAGUUGGUAUCAAAGUUGUAGGUUAUGAACCUUAGGUAGGAAUACCUGAGACUAAUAACCGCAGUGAUUAGGAUAAGAUCUAACUUAUAUAGAGUUAGUCAGUCGGUAAGAUUCAAA
rnacentral:lncRNA from 1 species